AUUGAACGCUGGCGGCAUGCCUUACACAUGCAAGUCGAACGGCAGCGGACCUUCGGGUGCCGGCGAGUGGCGAACGGGUGAGUAAUAUAUCGGAACGUACCUUUCAGUGGGGGAUAACGUAGCGAAAGUUACGCUAAUACCGCAUAUUCUGUGAGCAGGAAAGCAGGGGAUCGCAAGACCUUGCGCUGAUUGAGCGGCCGAUAUCAGAUUAGCUAGUUGGUGAGGUAAAGGCUCACCAAGGCGACGAUCUGUAGCGGGUCUGAGAGGAUGAUCCGCCACACUGGAACUGAGACACGGUCCAGACUCCUACGGGAGGCAGCAGUAAGGAAUAUUGGUCAAUGGAGGCAACUCUGAACCAGCCAUUCCGCGUGAAGGAUGAAUGCCCUCUGGGUUGUAAACUUCUUUAGUCUGGGAAGAAAAACAUAUAUUCAUAUAUGUCUGACGGUACCAGAAGAAUAAGCACCGGCUAACUCCGUG
rnacentral:rRNA from 1 species